rfam:Echinostoma caproni strain Egypt genome assembly, scaffold: ECPE_scaffold0000056
AGCCUCGUAGAUCAGCUGGUAGAGAAUGCGCGUACCAAGCGUAGGCGGUGUCCAUGCGUGGGUUCGAAUCCCACCGAGGCUA